AAUCAAAAUUAUAGCAAAAUUUGGUAGUUUUGUAUGUUGGUUCAGGGUUGUCGUCAUCUGAGGUUCUCUGAGGGGUUGUCAUCAUCUCUAUUCAGUGAUCUCAGAUCUUAUAGUAAUAUUUAUCU